rnacentral:rRNA from 1 species
AUUGAACGCUGGCGGCAGGCCUAACACAUGCAAGUCGAACGGUAACAGGAAGCAGCUUGCUGCUUUGCUGACGAGUGGCGGACGGGUGAGUAAUGUCUGGGAAACUGCCUGAUGGAGGGGGAUAACUACUGGAAACGGUAGCUAAUACCGCAUAACGUCGCAAGACCAAAGAGGGGGACCUUCGGGCCUCUUGCCAUCGGAUGUGCCCAGAUGGGAUUAGCUAGUAGGUGGGGUAACGGCUCACCUAGGCGACGAUCCCUAGCUGGUCUGAGAGGAUGACCAGCCACACUGGAACUGAGACACGGUCCAGACUCCUACGGGAGGCAGCAGUGGGGAAUAUUGCACAAUGGGCGCAAGCCUGAUGCAGCCAUGCCGCGUGUAUGAAGAAGGCCUUCGGGUUGUAAAGUACUUUCAGCGGGGAGGAAGGGAGUAAAGUUAAUACCUUUGCUCAUUGACGUUACACGCAGAAGAAGCACCGGCUAACUCCGUG